rnacentral:tRNA from 1 species
UCUCUGGUAGUAUAGUGGUGAGUAUCCGCGCCUGUCACGUGCGAGACAGGGGUUCGAUUCCCCGCCAGAGAG